AUUGAACGCUGGCGGCAGGCCUAACACAUGCAAGUCGAACGAGUGGCGGACGGGUGAGUAAUGUCUGGGAAACUGCCUGAUGGAGGGGGAUAACUACUGGAAACGGUAGCUAAUACCGCAUACCAUCGGAUGUGCCCAGAUGGGAUUAGAUAGUAGGUGGGGUAAAGGCUCACCUAGGCGAAGGUCCCUAGCUGGUCUGAGAGGAUGAACACCCAGAAUGGAACUGAGAGACGGUCCAGACUCCUACGGGAGGCAGCAGUGGGGAAUAGUGCACAAGGGGCGCAAGCAGGAUGCAGCCAUGCCGCGUGUAUGAUGAAGGCCUUCGGGUUGUAAAGUACUUUCAGCGGAGAGGCGUUACCCACAGAAGAAGCACCGGCUAACUCCGUGCCAGCAGCCGCGGUAAUUC
rnacentral:rRNA from 1 species